rnacentral:rRNA from 1 species
UAAUACAGAGGUGGCAAGCGUUGUUCGGAAUCACUGGGCAUAAAGGGCGCGUAGGCGGCGACGCAAGUCAGGUGUGAAAGCCCUCAGCUUAACUGAGGAAUUGCGCCUGAAACUAUGUUGCUUGAGUGUAGGAGGGGAGAGUGGAACUCCUAGUGGAGCGGUGAAAUGCGUAGAGAUUAGGAGGAACGCCGGUGGCGAAAGCGACUCUCUGGCCUACUACUGACGCUGAGGCGCGAAAGCUAGGGGAGCAAACGGGAUUAGAUACCCCGGUAGUCCUAGCCGUAAACGAUGGGCACUAAGUAGGGGGGUCUCCGAAGAUCUCUCUGCCGGAGCUAAUGUAUUAAGUGCCCCGCCUGGGGAGUAUGGUCGCAAGGCUG